rnacentral:rRNA from 1 species
AUUGAACGCUGGCGGUAUGCUUAACACAUGCAAGUCGAACGGUAACAGCAGAAGCUUGCUUCUGGCUGACGAGUGGCGGACGGGUGAGUAAUACAUAGGAAUCUGCCCAGUAGUUGGGGAUAACGUGGGGAAACUCACGCUAAUACCGAAUACGCCCUACGGGGGAAAGAUGGGGAUCUCUUCGGAGACCUGUCACUAUUGGAUGAGCCUAUGUCAGAUUAGCUUGUUGGUGGGGUAAUGGCCUACCAAGGCGACGAUCUGUAGCUGGUCUGAGAGGACGACCAGCCACACUGGGACUGAGACACGGCCCAG